AGUGGGUCAAAGUGGCAGCCCGCCGCGCUGCUCAGCCCUGGUGGACACACCCCACUCAGGCGGCCGACCGCCAGAGUGGGUCAAAGUGUCAGCCCACCGUGCUGCUCAGCCCUGGGAUCCCUCAACCCACUCAGGCGGCCCACCGCCAGAGUGGGUCAAAGUGUCAGCACGCAUUGCUGCUCAGCCCCUGGGGCCCUCCCCCACACUCAGGUGCCCAACCGGCAGAGUGGGUCAAAGUGGCAGCCCACCGAGCAUUGGCGGGCCCGACCCCCACUCAAGCGGCGCAUAGCUAGAGUGGGAAAAAGUGGCAGCCCGCCGCGCUGCUCAGCCCUGGGGUCCCUCACCCCACUCAGGCAGACGACAGCCAGAGUUGGUCAAAGUGGCAGCCCGCCAAGCUGCUCAGCCCUGGGGCACCCAAGCCCACUCAGUUGGCCGCGCGCCAGAGUGGGUCAAAGCGGCAGCCCGCCACGCUGCUCAGCCCUGGCGGCCCCAACCCCAAACAGGAGGCCGACCGCCAGAGUGGGUGAAGGUGGAAGCUCGCCGCGCUGCACAGCCCUGCGGGCCGGACCCCCACUCAGGCGGCCGACCGCCAGAGUGGGUCAAAGUGGCAGCCCGCAGCACUGCUCAGCCCUGGGGGCGCCCCACCUAGUCUGGCGGCCGAUCGCCACAGUGGCUCAUAUUGGCAGCCCGCCCGCUGCUCAGCCCUGGGGUCCCUCACCUCACUCAGGCGGCCGACCUCCAGAGUGGGUCAAAGUGGCAGCCUGCCGCGCUGCUCAGCCCUGGGGGACCUCUCCACACUCAGGCGGCCGACCGCCAGAGUGGCUCAAAGCGGCGGCCCGCCGCGCUGCUCAGCCCUGGGGGACCUCUCCACACUCAGGCGGCCGACCGCCAGAGUGGCUCAAAGCGGCGGCCCGCCGCGCUGCUCAGCCCUGGGGGACCUCUCCACACUCAGGCGGCCGACUGUGAGAGUGGGUCAAAGUCGCAGCCCGCAGCGCUGCUCAGCCCUGGGGGCGCCCCACGUAGUCUGGCGGCCGAUCGCCACAGUGGCUCAUAGUGGCAGCCCACCGCGCUGCUCAGCCCUGGCUGCCCCACCGUGACUGA
rnacentral:lncRNA from 1 species